UGCAAAAGUGGUCCUGAAGGAGAAGCAAGAAUUGCUCAUUAAGCAUAAGCUGCCCAAGCAUAUGCUGCUCCUAGAUGUAAAGACCAGACAGAACUCUCUGUAUUUGAUGAUAGAGAGAUUCUGCGAGCAGUUUCCUGCCAUCCAGGCUGCAGCCAUCGAUCCACGGAUAAGAAAGUCCAUGGAAAAGGAAAGACUGGCUAAAAUGGGCAAUGAUGACUUAAGAAAAGCAGAAGAGUUUGUGGUGCUCAUGCGGAUGCACUACACCUCCACACUAGCAGUUUCCAGCGACAAAAGUGAUGAGAUUUUGC
ensembl:lncRNA